CCUACGGGAGGCAGCAGUGGGGAAUAUUGGACAAUGGGCGAAAGCCUGAUCCAGCCAUGCCGCGUGUGUGAAGAAGGUCUUCGGAUUGUAAAGCACUUUAAGUUGGGAGGAAGGGCAGUAAGUUAAUACCUUGCUGUUUUGACGUUACCGACAGAAUAAGCACCGGCUAACUCUGUGCCAGCAGCCGCGGUAAUACAGAGGGUGCAAGCGUUAAUCGGAAUUACUGGGCGUAAAGCGCGCGUAGGUGGUUCGUUAAGUUGGAUGUGAAAGCCCCGGGCUCAACCUGGGAACUGCAUCCAAAACUGGCGAGCUAGAGUACGGUAGAGGGUGGUGGAAUUUCCUGUGUAGCGGUGAAAUGCGUAGAUAUAGGAAGGAACACCAGUGGCGAAGGCGACCACCUGGACUGAUACUGACACUGAGGUGCGAAAGCGUGGGGAGCAAACAGGAUUAGAUACCCUUGUAGUC
rnacentral:rRNA from 1 species